rnacentral:rRNA from 1 species
AGAGUUUGAUCCUGGCUCAGGAUGAACGCUAGCUACAGGCUUAACACAUGCAAGUCGAGGGGAAACGACAUCGAAAGCUUGCUUUUGAUGGGCGUCGACCGGCGCACGGGUGAGUAACGCGUAUCCAACCUGCCCAUCACUUGGGGAUAACCGUUGCGAAAGUAAGACUAAUACCCAAUGACGUCUCUAGAAGACAUCUGAAAGAGAUUAAAGAUUUAUCGGUGAUGGAUGGGGAUGCGUCUGAUUAGCUUGUUGGCGGGGUAACGGCCACAAGGCGACGAUCAGUAGGGGUUCUGAGAGGAAGGUCCCCCANAUUGGAACUGAGACACGGUCCAAACUCCUACGAGAGGCA